GGGUCCCUGUGAGGAUCAUGGUGCCUUCAGGCAGUGGGAAGUGAGGGGUCCAGUGGCACUUAAAUUAACUGUGCACCCGAAGCCAAUCCCCGUCUCUUUCAGCCUGUUUCCUAAUCUGCAAAACUGGAAUGAUGCUAACCAUCCCGCAGUGCAUUCCAUAGUGCAUCCUCGCCUAGAAUUGAGUGGAAGCAAGUCCAUCUCAGAAGGGGCAUAACUGAAGAGGAAAGGCUUUCCAGACUCUGAAGGGCAGAGAAAGCACCAGCGUGGGUUAGAGAAAGAGAACAGCAACUCUGAGCCCGUCCUGGGUGACCUCACAGAGAUCACCCUAGUGGCCCAGGCUAGUGACUGGGAACAUGUACCUUCCUGCAGCCAACCCCAGACGUCCACUGAUGCAUCAUAUACUGGCAAAGACGUGAGUCCCUGUGCAUUGGUCUAA